AUGCGAGCUGGGUCGUAUCGAAUUCGAUGCGAUUUGUUCAUUGCAUUUAGUACAAGCCCAUCAAGACGAAUUCGUACUAAUUCGCACGAUUUAAUUAAUUGGUUAAAUCGUACUAUAUCGUACGAUUUGUUCUUCACGUUCAAUAAGCUUGACCCAACUCUCGACAGGAAAACAACGCGAUAUUUUCCUGCAGUUUACACGCGCCACUUCUCGUUACUUCAGAUCCCAUUCCAUUCACCCUUUCAUCUAUUCCAUCUACUCUACAAUCCAACCCAACGGCUCUUUUAAGAGCCAUCAUUAGCAAAAGCUCUAAUUCUCUCUCUCUCCCACACUAACACACACACACACAAAUUAACACACACUCUCUCUCCCACACACACACACACACACACAUAAACUAACACACACACUCUCUCUCCCACACACAUACACACAAACUAACACACUCUCUCUCUCUCUCUCUCUCUCUCUCUCUACACACACACACACACAUAAACUAACACACACACUCUCUCUCUCCCACACACACACACACAUAAACUAACACACACACUCUCUCUCUCCCACACACAUACACACAAACUAACACACUCUCUCUCUCUCUCUCUCACACACACACACACACACAAAAAAGCUAACACACUCUCUCACUCAAACACACACACACAGACAAACUAACACACUCUCUCUCUCUCACACACACACAAGCUAACACACUCUCUCUCACUCACACAGACACACACAAACAUGGCACCUGGAGCCACAACACGUCAGUGUAGUGUUUGCUGCAAAGAGAUUGGCAGUGCCUCGAAAACAUGCAAGCACUGUGGAAUGAAGGUUACACUGAAGAAAAAUCUGGAAGACCAAAAACUUAAAUUUGAUGGCCAGUGGGCAGCCAAAUUAAAAAAAGAUGGCAAUACUUGCAAAAUUAUGAAUUCUGUGGACUUGAUUGUAAGCUUUAUUUCAUUAUAUGAAAUUGAUUUUUAUUUUCUCGAGACUCAAGCCUAUUAACAAAAAAGAAACAUCACUAUAUUUAGAAAAUGCGCUAUAAUGUAAUAAAGCUUAUUGCUAUUUGAGUAGAUAUGAUAUACAGUAGUGGAUAAGAACAUAGUUUUUAACUUGACUGUAUACUCUUCUUUAAAAUGUUUUGUUCUCUUUUCUCAGCUCCAUAAAUUGGAAUUACUGGGCGUCUCACCGAUGCUUUUUAUUACUACACAGAGAGGCCAGCACCGGUCUACAAAAGUUUUGGUCAAAAGUGCAUACAUUCAGAGCCAUCCCUCAGUACCAAUCAUGCAGAGACUUUAUGAGGCUGUUAUAAGAGGUAUUUAUUUGCACAUUUGCAUUUACAAUUUGAAAAGCUCUUCUUUUACUUAAUAAUUUACCCUUGACUUGUCCAUAAGAUUAUAAUGUCACACUAAAUAUGUUUUAAAGAGUGCAUGCACUGGCAUAACUACUGGUAGUGUGAGUGUUUUAUUAGUAUUUGUAUUAGUAUUUAUCAUUAGACAUAAAUCAUAACUGUCUCUAAAAACUAAUAUGAAUUUUAUUUAUGUAUUAUGCUUCAAUUCAAAGUUUAUUUGGAUAGCACAUUUCACAGCACAUAUUGUUUCAAGGCCACUAUACAGAAAUGUUUGUUUUUAAUAUAUAUUUAGAGAGAGAGAGGAUGUUUGUUAUCAGCCAUAGAUGAGUAUUAUACUAUAGUGCUAUUCUAGGUGCUAUCAACAGAGUCUUGUGACCUUAAAGAGCGUGAUGCAGUGUAGCAUAAUAGAAGAUCAGUUAAAUCAGGGAUGUCAAAUUCAGUUCCUGGAGGGCCGGAGCCCUGCAGUUUUUGUUCCAACCCUGCUUCAACAAACAUACCAUGUAGCUUUCAAAUAAGCCUGAAAGACUAGAUUAGUUGGAUAAGGUGUGUUUAAUUAGGGUUCAAUCUAACCUAUGCAGGGCUCCGGCCCUCCAGGAAUUGAGUUUGACACAUAGACUAUAUAAAAACAUGGACGUAGUGUCCGUGACGUCACUCUUAGACUCCUGAAGACAUUUCUGAAGCUCAAUGUGUGCAGAGCAGGCCGUCACCAUCUUGGCAGCGCAUCACCGCGUGACUCUCCCGGAUAAUCGAAAAUGGGCAAAAAGGUGGGAGCUGGUUGCUGAAGCCACGCCCACUUAGCUCGAUGGCAGUGUCAGUAGUGGCAAUCCACCUGUCACUCAAGUGGCCACGCCCUUAAUUAUGCAGAACUUUAAGGCUUAAUAUAAUUUAAACGGAUGAUAAUUUAAACUGUGCCCUCACAGUUGUCAUGAAGGGCAAAAUUAGCUAUAUAGACCAAAAAUAAUUUUUUUGAACCAGGCUGGAAACGUUUUUCUGCUGUAAAGUUGGUCAUUUUUAACAUGGGGAGUCUAUGGGACUGACUCCCUGUUGCAGCCAGCCUCAAGCGGCCAGUCGAUGAAUUGCAGUUUUAGUCACUUUCUUGAUGGCUUCACGAGAGAGAGCGGGAGGUUGCCGCUCGGUUUGACACCCCUGAGUUAAAUGCAAAGGGGCUAGAGCAGGGGUGCCCUACCUACUUGCAGAGUUCAGAUCCAACCCUUAAGUACUCCUGAAGAUCUUAAUUAGCUGGUUCAGCCACUCUGUGUGUCUAUAGACACGCAUACAUACAUACAUACAUGCAUGCAUACAUACAUACAUGUAGACUAAACAUGUUGACUAAAGACUGUUCUUUUCCCUAAUCCUCCACAGGGAGCAACUCCACCUCUGCCACCAGUGAACCCGCCUCUGCGACCCCCAAUGACUCCACCUCUGUGUCCAGGGAACCCGCCUCUGCGACCCCCCCAAUGACUCCAACUCUGUGUCCAGGGAACCCGCCUCUGCGACCCCCAAUGACUCCAACUCUGUGUCCAGGGAACCCGCCUCUGCGACCCCCAAUGACUCCAACUCUGUGUCCAGGGAACCCGCCUCGCGACCCCCCAAUGACUCCAACUCUGUGUCCAGGGAACCCGCCUCUGCAACCCCCAAUGACUCCAACUCUGAGAUCAGUGAACCCACCUCUGCGACCCCCAGUGAACCCAAUAUUCCAAAUGUGUUCUACAGGCCAAUAAAAAGAAAGCAGAGACAAACACUUAAUGGUAAUUUUUUUCCUCCUUUGUAAUUCUUAUUGUUACCUCUACCUUGUCCAUUUGAAAGCUAUUUCAGAUAAAGUUGUUUAAAAGUUAACAAAUAACAUUUGAAAAAAAAUCAACCAGUUUCUUUUUGAUAUUGUUUAAAUCAAUUGUAAUUAAUUGUAUUAUUGCAUUACAGAAUGCUCACAUAACAGCCAGGAUGUGUACCAUGGAGAGGUUGUGAGGGAGAGAGUUAGGGAGGUUGGUCAGAAUAAUGAAAAGAAAAAUUCCAC
ensembl:lncRNA